UACAGAGGGGGCAAGCGUUGUUCGGAAUUACUGGGCGUAAAGGGCGCGUAGGCGGCCUGUUAAGUCGAACGUGAAAUCCCCGGGCUCAACCCGGGAACUGCGUCCGAUACUGGCAGGCUCGAAUCCGGGAGAGGGAUGCGGAAUUCCAGGUGUAGCGGUGAAAUGCGUAGAUAUCUGGAGGAACACCGGUGGCGAAGGCGGCAUCCUGGACCGGCAUUGACGCUCAUGUGCGAAAGCGUGGGGAGCAAACAGG
rnacentral:rRNA from 1 species